AAUCCCCGUUAAGAUCGGCGGACCAGCUACUCCUUGUUGUCCCUAGAACGCGGCUCUAAAAUAGGGG